rnacentral:sRNA from 1 species
AAGUUGCCUUGCGUUAGGGAUUGAAGUGGCAUCCUUUUUUAUGUCAGUUUUAGUUUUUUUGUUUUGAAAUGAUAAUGGAAAAAUAAAAAAGUACCGAGAACAAAUAAAAAAGAUAUAACAAAAAGCCCGACUUGGU